GCGACCCCAGGUCAGGCGGGACUCCCCG
rnacentral:rRNA from 1 species